rnacentral:tRNA from 1 species
CGCGAGAUGGCCGUGCGGUCUAAGGCGCUGGUUUAAGGCAGCAGUCUCUUCGGAGGCGUGGGUUCGAAUCCCACUCUCGUCA